AGCUGUAACUGAAGAGGGGAUAGCAAGGUUAAAUCUCCAAAUUCUGUUGCAGCUUUUUUAAUUGACUAUAAUUAUAAGUAGAUGGUUAUAAUAGGAUAUUGUACAUAUAGGUACAGUUAUUUAGGAGGAUUUUUUCAUGCAAAACGGUAAAGUAAAAUGGUUUAACGCAGACAAAGGUUUUGGAUUCAUCGAAGUUGAAGGUGGAGACGAUGUAUUCGUACAUUUCUCAGCUAUCCAAGGCGAAGGUUUCAAAACUUUAGAAGAAGGUCAAGAAGUUACUUUCGACGUUGAAGAAGGCAACCGCGGACCUCAAGCUACUAACGUAGUUAAAGCAUAAUUUUAUAAAAUUAUGGAUAAAAGCGAAGGAAAUAUAUUUCCUUCGCUUUUA
rnacentral:other from 1 species